rnacentral:rRNA from 1 species
AUUGAACGCUGGCGGCAGGCCUAACACAUGCAAGUCGAGCGGAGUGGCGGAAGGGUGAGAUAUGUGUGGGAAACUGCCUGAUGGGGGGGGAACACUACUGGAAACGGUAGCUAAUACCGCAUACCAUCGGAUGUGCCCAGAUGGGAUUAGCUAGUAGGUGGGGCAAAGGCAUACCAAGGCGACGAUCCGUAACGGGUCUGAGAGGAUGAUCAGUCACACUGGAACUGAGACACGGUCCAGACUCCUACGGGAGGCAGCAGUGGGGAAUAUUGGACAAUGGGCGAAAGCCUGAUCCAGCCAUGCCGCGUGUGUGAAGAAGGUCUUCGGAUUGUAAAGCACUUUAAGUUGGGAGGCGUUACCAACAGAAUAAGCACCGGCUAACUUCGUGCCAGCAGCCGCGGUAAUUC